rnacentral:lncRNA from 1 species
AUGCUGUUAGGUCUCUACCUCUGCUUCUCACUCCACACAGGCUCAUCUCAUAUAAUGAGAAGCAUGAACUAUCAGAAUAACCAGAGAGAGGCUAUUCUCAAGUUUCGUAUCAUCCCAAGUUCUGGAGAAGAGACCCACUGGUUCAGCUUGCCUAGGCAGCUACUCCUGGAGCCCCUGGUUGCGCUUCAGCCCCUCCCAAUCACGGAGUGGAUUUCAGCCUUCUCCACAGAGUGCCUCUACCCAUCCACUCUUCUGACCUGCCCACCACUCUCCUCCUCGCCUCCCAGUAAGUCGCCAGGCUUCGGUAGACAUCUGUGGGCCAAUUUGAUUCACUGGCGAACUUCCCCUUUUACUACUUAAUUGUUAUUCUGUUUUUACAACAGAGGACACUAAGGUUCAAAAGAAGUCAGCAAAUUGCCCACUAUUAUACAGCUGAAGGUGGCAGGACGAGGGCUUGAUCCCAAUACGUGAGUCCAAAGACUUAUUUUUCACUAUAAAAGUAACAUACUUUCAAAAUUUUUGAGCAACACCUACAAUGUUUCUUAAAAGCGACAUUCUUUAAAUACCUGCAUGCUUUAAAAAAAGAAUUUAAAAAAUCACCUAUCUGUGAUGUCAACAGAAACAAGGAUAGUUCCCAUCUUGAUUUGUUUUCUUUCUCUCCCUUUUCUUGGCAUGGAUUUUCAUUUGAUUCACAGAGUUACAUCCUGGCUUCUCCUGUUUUUCCGGGUGAAGGAGAGAGUACCUGUGGAUUGUUACCUCAGCAGCUUUUUCUGGUCAGACUGGUGUCCUGAUGCUUUCGAAACUCCUGAGAGUCUUCUCCUCUCCUGAAUUUGAAUUCUGGAAUUCUUGCAGGCGUUUUCUUAAAGCAAUUGCAGAAACCUGACACCCUGGAGGACUCUAUGAGCAAGUUCGCUGGGAGUUUAUGGCAAAUGUGUGUCUCAGUGGUUCUUAAAUCUUCUGUGCAUCAGAAUUACCUGUGAGAUCAUCAAAACAUGGAUGCCCCAGUAUCAUCUAGAAUCUCCUUAAUCAGAGGAUCUAAGGAUCAUACUAGGCCAUCUGUAUUUUAGAAAAGUUUUCUCGGUGAUUCUGAAAAGU